GGAGGGGUGGCAGAGUGGUCGAAUGCGGCGGUCUUGAAAACCGUUGAAGCGCAAGCUUCCGGGGGUUCGAAUCCCUCCCCCUCCGCCA
rnacentral:tRNA from 5 species